GCGCCAGUGGCGGAAUUGGGAGACGCGCAGGGUUUAGGACCCUGUGUCCGCAAGGACGUGUGGGUUCGAGUCCCACCUGGCGCA
rnacentral:tRNA from 1 species